CCCAUGUUGGUGACACUGCCCAUCGAGGUACAGCCCAACUUGGCAAACCAACCCUUCCCUUUCUUGGACACCACACUGGCUGAUCUGGGCAUCCAAGAGUCAGAGGUGAAGGAGAGGGUGGUUUGGGUUGACACCAAGAAGACCCAGGUGAAGAACAAAGCAGGGAAGCUGGAGGAGAAAGAGAUCACCAUCCUAGAGAUACGAGUGAAAGCCCAGAAGCCAGGAGACAAACAGCUCCAGGAGGUCCUGUACAGCACCGAGGACCACACUGACCGCUCCUUCUGCUGCACUUGAAUGGAUAUCCUGCCCCAGAAACAGACGUGUGCAGGUCUGGAAGCAGUUUAAAUCCCAUACUUUUUUGAUCUGUGAGGCUCUUAAUGUCACGUCUGCUGCCAUUAAAGUCAGCUCAGGGUUUCUUGAUUCUGAUUUUUCUUUGCUGUGUCACUGU